rnacentral:rRNA from 1 species
UACGGGGGGGGUAAGCGUUGUUCGGAAUUACUGGGCGUAAAGGGCUCGUAGGCGGCCAACUAAGUCAUACGUGAAAUCCCUCAGCUUAACUGGGGAACUGCGUGUGAUACUGGAUGGCUUGGAUUAGGGAGAGGGAUGCGGAAUUCCAGGUGUAGCGGUGAAAUGCGUAGAUAUCUGGAGGAACACCGGUGGCGAAGGCGGCAUCCUGGACCAAUAUUGACGCUGAGGAGCGAAAGCCAGGGGAGCAAACGGG